rnacentral:lncRNA from 1 species
GCAACAACAAGGUUGGAAUGAUGUUGAAGGGUUGGUUAUUUGGAGGAAUGGAUGGGAAGGGGUUUAGAUAUGUAGGAGAGGCAAGGAAAGGCUUGGAGAAUGGUUAAUUUCUGGAUGAUUUGAAUGAGGUUGAUGCCAUGGUAUUUAUAGGAAGAGGAUGGACUUGUUUAACACAAAAUGUUGGUGGAAUUGAGUAGGUGAGCAUGGCAAAGAGUGGGAAUUGUUGGUGGGUUAGGUAUUGAGUCAUCCACUCACAUGUCAUGGUGAGCUAAGCAUUGCAUCAUCCACUCACAUGUCAUGGUGAGUUAAGCAUUGCAUCAUUACUCAAAUUUCUGGUGGAGGUGGAAGUAAAAGCCACGGCAUUGAUGUGUUUUGAGUGAAGUUUUGGCCAAUCCUUCUAGAAAUUUAUCCCUUCUUGCAACUUGUAUUUGUUUCACCAGAUUUUUAGCAUGUUCUUAGCCUCUUUUGUCUUCAAAUUCGUCCAUCCAUCUUGCUCAUAUCAUAUGUAAUCCAUUCCAAGCUCAAAACUGCUCCAAAAUGCACCAAAAUGCACUUUCUUGCUACCUUAGCCCUUUGGACCUACAAACACACGAAAAUGGCUUAAAGUACUAAAAUAACUAAGAACUAAUAACGUAAAUGCAAGAAAACUAGUUAACUAAGUCGCAUAAAUAUGCGUCUAUCACCUUGGCGAAUUCAAAUCCUCCCCUUGGAUUCACAAUGGUUGAACUAGGCAGUUUGCCUUGUUCUCUAAACUGUCCCAUGAACUCCACUACUUGCCUCAUUAGCUUCUUCAAUUCGUCUACCUCUUUAGCUUUAUUUUGCAUCUCUUUGGUUUGAUUUUGUAUUCCUUGCAUCAAAGAGGUGAGUGAUGCGUAAAAUAACUAAACACACAAAUUAACCCUCUUGUUGACAAUUGUAGUAUGGAUAAGUAGGGAUCGUUCUUAAACCGGGGAUUAGGAGGGAUUGCUAAAACACUCUAAACUGACUCAAAUCUGUAAAACAAGGUUUAAAAUACUAAACUAGACUCAAAGAAUGCAAAACUAAACUCUAAAACACUAAAACAAACCAAAAGACUCAAAACAGCAAAAAAACACUCAAAACUGCCUAAAAACCACUUUCUGGGCAGUUUUGGGACUCUAACACAACUUGAACGAAUUUUGGUUUUCUAAUGACCUAAAACACCUAAAAACAUAUUCUAAGACAAGUUCUAGUUAAUAUGACUCAAAGAAAUAAGAUGGGGUUGAUUUUGGACGAAAAUAAAUAAAACAAAGCAAGAACAAUGUAAACAGAUUUUUAGACAGAAUUAAGUAAAUUGAUGAGUGAUAGACUAACUAGAGGGUUCUUCUCCACACAUGAUACACUUGCAUUCAACUUUGAUUUCCAAUUGCUUCUUUCAAUAAACUAUGAAUCUCAACGCCCUAGGUUAACUGUGAUAGCACUUUUUUCACCUUCAAGUUUUCCUAAAGUUAGUGAAUUGGAUGGGAAUGCACAUGCAAUAACUCAAAACAUUCUCUAAAAGUCCCUUACGUGAAAAGCACAA